rnacentral:lncRNA from 1 species
GAGGCAGAUCCUGCAGCUCCGAAACACCCUCCAAGCUUCACGUUGCCACAUGGUUCUGGGAGAUGAGGCCACGGCAAUCUGUGGCUUCCCUUGCUCCUGAACUUGAGCCUCUGAUUCCCUCUCCUGUUGGAGGCUUUAACACGAGUCUGACUGUGUCACCCAGGCUGGAGUGCAGUGGCGUGAUCUCGGCUUACUACAACCUCUGCCUCCUGGGUUCAAACAAUUCUCCUGCCUCAGCCUCCAGAGUAGCUGGGAUUAAAGCACCCCUUCCACAAGCUAGCAGGAGGGUGGAAGUGAGGAUGAAGGAUCCUUGUGGGAAGCUGAGUCCAGCCCAGGAUGCCUCUGCCCACUUCUGCUCUGCUCUUAGCACAGGUGCCUGGCUCCCACCUGUUGAGUUACAGGCCACUGACUUCCAAGUCAGGCCAGGAGGUCAGUCAUCUUUUCCACCGAUCCUCUGCCCUGAGCUGAGUUAUCUCGCAC